rnacentral:rRNA from 1 species
CGUGUAGGCGGUCAGGUAAGUGGAAUGUGAAAUGCCCCGGCUCACCCGGGGACCGGCAUCCCAAACUGCCUGGCUUGAGUAUGGGAGAGGAUGGAGGAAUUCCUGGUGUAGCGGCGAAAUGCGUAGAUAUCAGGAGGAACACCGGUGGCGAAGGCGUCCAUCUGGCCCAAUACUGACGCUGAGGCGCGAAAGCUAGGGGAGCAAACG